rnacentral:lncRNA from 1 species
AUUAGUAAAUAAAUUUUAUUUCAGAAAAGGAUUCAUGCUGCAACCAGUAAAAUUGAUAAUAUUGAUGAUUGCGAUUUUUUCAAUAGUAGUACUAAAGAGGGAGUAAUAGAGUAGUGCUCUUUAUAUUUCACAUACACUGAAAAUCCACUUGAUUAGUUACAAAUGAACAAAAAGAUGAAAGUGUAUCAGAAACGGACGGAAUUGGGUGGGUCAGAUUUGUGUAAGUACUUUCGGCGUUUAUUUUAGAAGUUGAAUGUUUUAACAAUGUUAAUUUAAUUGCUCUAAAAAGCUGUUCAUCUUAUUGGUGGUUCUGGCCUGAUACUGUGUUAAGGGAGUCAUUUCCGUUACAAGCUAAACCACCGGUCAAUUUCUUUUUUUUUUCUCUUCCUCAAUUUCCUUUUUUCUGUUGUGGAGAGAAUUUAUUAGGCCUCAUCUUGUAUUUAUUUGUUUACAAAGGAAAUAGUAAAUAAAAUUUAUUUAAGAAAGGAUUCACUUCCUAAUUAGUAAAUAAAUUUUAUUUUAAAAAAGGAUUCAUGCUGCAAACCAGUGAAAUUGAUAAUAUUGAUGAUUACGAUUUUUUCAAUAGUACAACUAAAGAGGGAGUAAUAGAGUAGUGCUCUUUAUAUUUCACAUACACUGAAAAUCCACUUGAUUAGUUAUAAAUGAACAAAAAGAUGAAAGUGUAUCAGAAACAAACGGAAUUGGGUGGGUCAGAUUUGUGUAAGUACUUUCUGCAUUUAUUUUAGAAGUUGAAUGUUUUAACAAUGUUAAUUUAAUUGCUCUAAAAAGUUGUUCAUCUUAUUGGUGGUUCUGGCCUGAUACUGUGUUAAGGGAGUCAUUUCCGUUACAAGCUAAACCACCGGUCAAUUUCUUUUUUUUUCUCUUCCUCAAUUUCCUUUUUUCUGUUCCGGAGAGGAUUUAUUAGGCCUCAUCUUAUAUUUAUUUGUUUACAAAGGAAAUAGUAAAUAAAAUUUAUUUCAGAAAGGAUUCACUUCCUAAUUAGUAAAUAAAUUUUAUUUUAAAAAAGGAUUCAUGCUGCAAACCAGUGAAAUUGAUAAUAUUGAUGAUUGCGAUUUUUUCAAUAGUACAACUAAAGAGGGAGUAAUAGAGUAGUGCUCUUUAUAUUUCACAUACACUGAAAAUCCACUUGAUUAGUUAUAAAUGAACAAGAAGAUGAAAGUGUAUCAGAAACGGACGGAAUUGGGUGGGUCAGAUUUGUGUAAGUACUUUCUGCAUUUAUUUUAGAAGUUGAAUGUUUUAACAAUGUUAAUUUUAUUGCUCUAAAAAGCUGUUCAUCUUAUUGGUGGUUCUGGCCUGAUACUGUGUUAAGGGAGUCAUUUCCGUUACAAGCUAAACCACCGGUCAAUUUCUUUUUUUUUUCUCUUCCUCAAUUUCCUUUUACCUGUUCCGGAGAGGAUUUAUUGGGCCUCAUCUUAUAUUUAUUUGUUUACAAAGGAAAUAGUAAUAAAAUUUAUUUCAGAAAGGAUUCACUUCCUAAUUAGUAAAUAAAUUUUACUUUAAAAAAGGAUUCAUGCUGCAAACCAGUGAAAUUGAUAAUAUUGAUGAUUUCGAUUUUUUCAAUAGUACAACUAAAGAGGGAGUAAUAGAGUAGUGCUAUUUAUAUUUCACAUACACUGAAAAUCCACUUGAUUAGUUAUAAAUGAACAAAAAGAUGAAAGUGUAUCAGAAACAGACGGAAUUGGGUGGGUCGGAUUUGUGUAAGUACUUUCUGCGUUUAUUUUAGAAGUUGAAUGUUUUAACAAUGUUCAUUUAAUUAAAGCUGUUCAUCUUAUUGGUUGUUCUGGCCUGAUACUGUGUUAAGGGAGUCAUUUCCGUUACAAGCUAAACCACCGGUCAAUUUCCUUUUUUUCUCUCUCCUUCAAUUUCCUUUUUUCUGUUCUGGAAAGGAUUUAUUAGGCCUCAUCUUAUAUUUAUUUGUUUACAAAUGAAAUAGUAAAUAAAAUUUAUUUAAGAAAGGAUUCACUUCCUAAUUAGUAAAUAAAUUUUAUUUCAGAAAAGGAUUCAUGCUGCAACCAGUAAAAUUGAUAAUAUUGAUGAUUGCGAUUUUUUCAAUAGUAGUACUAAAGAGGGAGUAAUAGAGUAGUGCUCUUUAUAUUUCACAUACACUGAAAAUCCACUUGAUUAGUUACAAAUGAACAAAAAGAUGAAAGUGUAUCAGAAACGGACGGAAUUGGGUGGGUCAGAUUUGUGUAAGUACUUUCGGCGUUUAUUUUAGAAGUUGAAUGUUUUAACAAUGUUAAUUUAAUUGCUCUAAAAAGCUGUUCAUCUUAUUGGUGGUUCUGGCCUGAUACUGUGUUAAGGGAGUCAUUUCCGUUACAAGCUAAACCACCGGUCAAUUUCUUUUUUUUCUCUUCCUCAAUUUCCUUUUUUCUUUUCUGGAGAGGAUUUAUUAGGCCACAUCUUGUAUUUAUUUGUUUACAAAGGAAAUAGUAAAUAAAAUUUAUUUAAGAAAGGAUUCACUUCCUAAUUAGUAAAUAAAUUUUAUUUUAAAAAAGGAUUCAUGCUGCAAACCAGUGAAAUUGAUAAUAUUGAUGAUUGCGAUUUUUUCAAUAGUACAACUAAAGAGGGAGUAAUAGAGUAGUGCUCUUUAUAUUUCACAUACACUGAAAAUCCACUUGAUUAGUUAUAAAUGAACAAGAAGAUGAAAGUGUAUCAGAAACGGACGGAAUUGGGUGGGUCAGAUUUGUGUAAGUACUUUCUGCAUUUAUUUUAGAAGUUGAAUGUUUUAACAAUGUUAAUUUUAUUGCUCUAAAAAGCUGUUCAUCUUAUUGGUGGUUCUGGCCUGAUACUGUGUUAAGGGAGUCAUUUCCGUUACAAGCUAAACCACCGGUCAAUUUCUUUUUUUUUCUCUUCCUCAAUUUCCUUUUACCUGUUCCGGAGAGGAUUUAUUGGGCCUCAUCUUAUAUUUAUUUGUUUACAAAGGAAAUAGUAAUAAAAUUUAUUUCAGAAAGGAUUCACUUCCUAAUUAGUAAAUAAAUUUUAUUUUAAAAAAGGAUUCAUGCUGCAAACCAGUGAAAUUGAUAAUAUUGAUGAUUGCGAUUUUUUAAUAGUACUAGUAAAGAGGGAGUAAUAGAGUAGUGCUCUUUAUAUUUCACAUACACUGAAAAUCCACUUGAUUAGUUACAAAUGAACAAAAAGAUGAAAGUGUAUCAGAAACAGACGGAAUUGGGUGGGUCGGAUUUGUGUAAGUACUUUCUGCGUUUAUUUUAGAAGUUGAAUGUUUUAACAAUGUUGAUUUAAUUGCUCUGAAAAGCUGUUCAUCUUAUUGGUUCUUCUGGGCUGAUACUGUGUUAAGGGAGUCAUUUCCGUUACAAGCUAAACCACCGGUCAAUUUCUUUUUUUUCUCUUCCUCAAUUUCCUUUUUUCUUUUCUGGAGAGGAUUUAUUAGGCCACAUCUUGUAUUUAUUUGUUUACAAAGGAAAUAGUAAAUAAAAUUUAUUUAAGAAAGGAUUCACUUCCUAAUUAGUAAAUAAAUUUUAUUUUAGAAAAGGAUUCAUGCUGCAAACCAGUAAAAUUGAUAAUAUUGAUGAUUGCGAUUUUUUAAUAGUACUAGUAAAGAGGGAGUAAUAGAGUAGUGCUCUUUAUAUUUCACAUACACUGAAAAUCCACUUGAUUAGUUACAAAUGAACAAAAAGAUGAAAGUGUAUCAGAAACAGACGGAAUUGGGUGGGUCGGAUUUGUGUAAGUACUUUCUGCGUUUAUUUUAGAAGUUGAAUGUUUUAACAAUGUUGAUUUAAUUGCUCUGAAAAGGUGUUCAUCUUAUUUGUUCUGGGCUGAUACUGUGUUAAGGGAGUCAUUUCCGUUAUAAGCUAAACCACCUGUCAAUUUAUUUUUUUCUCUCUCCUUCAAUUUCCUUUUUUCUGUUCUGGAAAGGAUUUAUUAGGCCUCAUCUUAUAUUUAUUUGUUUACAAAUAAAUAGUAAAUAAAAUUUAUUUAAGAAAGGAUUCACUUCCUAAUUAGUAAAUAAAUUUUUAUUUAGAAAAGGAUUCAUGCUGCAAACCAGUAAAAUUGAUAAUAUUGAUGAUUGCGAUUUUUUCAAUAGUACUACUAAAGAGGGAGUAAUAGAGUAGUGCUCUUUAUAAUUCACAUACACUGAAAAUCCACUUGAUUAGUUACAAAUGAACAAAAAGAUGAAAUUGUAUCAGAAACGGACGGAAUUGGGUGGGUCAGAUUUGUGUAAGUACUUUCUGCGUUUAUUUUAGAAGUUGAAUGUUUUAACAUUGUUGAUUUAAUUGCUCUGAAAAGCUGUUCAUCUUAUUUGUGGUUCUGGCCUGAUACUGUGUUAAGGGAGUCAUUUCCGUUACAAGCUAAACCACCGGUCAAUUUCUUUUUUUUUCUCUUCCUCAAUUUCCUUUUACCUGUUCCGGAGAGGAUUUAUUGGGCCUCAUCUUAUAUUUAUUUGUUUACAAAGGAAAUAGUAAUAAAAUUUAUUUCAGAAAGGAUUCACUUCCUAAUUAGUAAAUAAAUUUUAUUUUAAAAAAGGAUUCAUGCUGCAAACCAGUGAAAUUGAUAAUAUUGAUGAUUGCGAUUUUUUAAUAGUACUAGUAAAGAGGGAGUAAUAGAGUAGUGCUCUUUAUAUUUCACAUACACUGAAAAUCCACUUGAUUAGUUACAAAUGAACAAAAAGAUGAAAGUGUAUCAGAAACAGACGGAAUUGGGUGGGUCGGAUUUGUGUAAGUACUUUCUGCGUUUAUUUUAGAAGUUGAAUGUUUUAACAAUGUUGAUUUAAUUGCUCUGAAAAGNNNNNNNNNNUCAAUUUCCUUUUUUCUGUUCUGGAAAGGAUUUAUUAGGCCUCAUCUUAUAUUUAUUUGUUUACAAAUAAAUAGUAAAUAAAAUUUAUUUAAGAAAGGAUUCACUUCCUAAUUAGUAAAUAAAUUUUUAUUUAGAAAAGGAUUCAUGCUGCAAACCAGUAAAAUUGAUAAUAUUGAUGAUUGCGAUUUUUUCAAUAGUACUACUAAAGAGGGAGUAAUAGAGUAGUGCUCUUUAUAAUUCACAUACACUGAAAAUCCACUUGAUUAGUUACAAAUGAACAAAAAGAUGAAAUUGUAUCAGAAACGGACGGAAUUGGGUGGGUCAGAUUUGUGUAAGUACUUUCUGCGUUUAUUUUAGAAGUUGAAUGUUUUAACAUUGUUGAUUUAAUUGCUCUGAAAAGCUGUUCAUCUUAUUUGUGGUUCUGGCCUGAUACUGUGUUAAGGGAGUCAUUUCCGUUACAAGCUAA